AUGGACCAAUCCAAUGCAGCAGAUCAGGAUGAACUGGAGACAUUAAUGGAGUUGAAGAGGAUAACAAAGAUUGCCAAAUUUAGGAAACAUAAGAUUGCAGCUGAGCAUGUAAAUAAGGUUAAGCAGAAGCUACCAAUUCUUCUAACUGAAGAUGAUUCAGAUAUGGAUGCAGAUGAGGACUAUCUUCAGAGGCUUAAUGAGAUGAGGAAGCAAAGAGAGGAUCCACUCAUUCAUUUUGAUGGAGACAUUGAUGUGGAUGAAGUGUAUGAGGAAGAUGAGGAAGGGCAACAUGCAUGUGGAGGUGGAGCAAGAGGAGCAGGUGGAGCAAGAUGA
rnacentral:rRNA from 1 species